rnacentral:lncRNA from 1 species
CGCCGCCGCCGCCGCCGCAGCCCCUCGCGCUAACUAACGGUCGGUAGCGGCCCGCGCGCGCCGCCCGCCGGGGGCUCGCGCCAGCCACGAGGGAGCGUCCGCGGCCCGCGCGCCCGCGCGGCGGAGGCGAGGUGAGUCCCGGGUCCUCCAUCCCGCCGAGUGCCCGCCCCCGGUCGCGGCCGGGACUCCUGCCCCUCGAGCGGCGUCCGCGUCCCUUCGUGGACCGGAUGGACGCGGCGGCGCCCCGCGCGCCGCCGGGCCCCCGGCGGGCACGGGCCGGGUGAGUGUCGGGCUGGCCUCUCCUGAGGUCCCGGUCCGCGGGCGGGCGCGCGUGGGCGUAUCCCCUUCACCCACGCGCGGCCCCUUCACCCUUCUCGGCUCUCGUCCAGGAUGCCGUUUUCUGAAAUGGAGCCAUGGAGAAUCCGCAGUUCAUAAUGGAGCUAACUGUACUGGCUGUCGGAAGGAGGAGAUUCUGAAGAUAGGGAGUCGCAGAACCAUACCACCACUUUUGGAGGGCAAUUCGAUAGCAUACGUGGAGUGUAGCAUUAAGUGUUUGCAAACGUCCAGCGCAUCCUGGCUAACGUGAUAUCGAAAAUGUCGAAGUUGGCAGUUAGAGGAAAUACUCACCCUUAUUACUAAGAUUCAGCUGUCGGUCUUUGAAAUUUCCUGUGGUCUGUUCAACCUGGAUGCAGAGGACAUGGAGCAAUCAAGUACGCAAGAGGUCCAAGCGUGUUUUGGAUGUUCCCCUUGAUAGACUGCAGUAUUUUUCCGGUUAAGACCCUCAGCUGUCGUGCAGAAGAAGGUUAUUCUCUUCUUGGUCCAUCCAGUUUCCUUGAAAUGCUUAGUAUUGUAGAGUAUCACCACACAGUUUCUGUUUUCAUCCAAGCAUAGAAAGAAUAAAAUCAAUUCUAUACGUUGACUUCUUUUCCA